ensembl:lncRNA
GUUCAUGGCAAUUCAAAUGUCAGCACUCAGCUGAAAGAUUUAAGAUUCUAUUUACAGUCAUACAGACAUAGUAAUCUAUAAAAUCUUUUCUUCUUUUUUUUUUUCCUUUUUUUUGGUCUCUUGUUUCCCCUGUCUCCUAAUUUAUUCCCUCUCACAUUUCUAUCUCCACUCUUAAAUAGAACCAACCCCAUUCAAAAAACAUCACCUGGUAGGGAUGAGGUCAUUUUCAUGCCAGAUUUAUUUUGAAUGUCUUCACAGGAGGAGACCACAACCUAUCUGGGCAGCCUGAGCCAGUGUUCAGUUGCCCUCAUAGUAAAUACUUGGUUCCUAAUGUUCAGGAGGAAAUUCUUGUCCUUCUGUUAGUGCCAGCUGCCUCUUGUUUCAUCUCUGGAUACCUUGAGAGAACCUGGCUCCAUUUUCUCUGAAGUGCUUAUGGAAGACAGUUGAAAAAGUCUCACUGAAGGCAGGGGAGAAAAUAUCCACUGCCCCCUCCUCAUCUAUCAAACCUGUUAUUUCAAGACAGAAACUUCCCAGGUUGCUCUAGCUUCCAACUUCCCCUCAGUGAAUCCAUGCUGACUACUCAGAAUCACCCUCUUGACCUCUAGGUGCGUGGAAAAAAAGUCUCCAUGGCUAGCUUUUGUAUCAGCUUCUGAAGGAUCAAGGAUGAGACUGACCAGCCUUUAGUUUCCCAGCAAUUCUUUCUUAUUCUCCUGAAAAUAAGAGUGUCAUUUGCUUUUCUGCAGGUCUCAAGUACUUCUCCUGAUUGCCAUGAUGAAUCAAGGUUUACUAAGAGAAGCCUUGUAAUGAGGUCAGCCUGCUUCCUCAGCAUAGGUGGCAAAAUCCCAUCAGGGGGAGAAAGAGUUCUGUCACACUUGAAACCACAAGAGUUCUAUUCCCCUCUCUUUGGGUCCUGAAUUUCACCACUUUCUGAACACAGCAGUCAAAUGUGCCUUUGACCUUCACAUGGAAAGAAAACAUCAUAAUGGUUGAACUCCCUCAUGAAUACUAGAGUCUGCGAAUGUGAUGCUGCUUCUAUCUGUUUUUAGAAGGCCUUGAACAAUUUUUCUUCCUACUCAUUUUUUCUUCAGCCUAAUAUCUAGAGAUUUUCAAGUUUGUAUCUUCCAGAUUUGUCAAUCAUUCAACUUCUCAUUGAUAAGUUUUGAAAUAAAG